CGUUCCAGUGUUGCAUUUACAAUGUGACGUAGCGAUGGCUGUAAAUGCAUUAUCUGGAAUGCA
rnacentral:pre_miRNA from 1 species